AUUGAACGCUGGCGGCAUGCCUUACACAUGCAAGUCGAACGGCAGCACGGGUGCUUGCACCUGGUGGCGAGUGGCGAACGGGUGAGUAAUAUAUCGGAACGUACCUUAUUGUGGGGGGUAACGCAGCGAAAGCUGUGCUAAUACCGCAUAAUCCCUAAGGGGGAAAGCGGGGGACCGUAAGGCCUCGCGCAAUUAGAGCGGCCGAUACCUGAUUAGCUAGUUGGUGAGGUAAAGGCUCACCAAGGCAACGAUCAGUAGCUGGUCUGAGAGGACGAUCAGCCACACUGGGACUGAGACACGGCCCAGACUCCUACGGGAGGCAGCAGUGGGGAAUUUUGGACAAUGGGGGCAACCCUGAUCCAGCAAUGCCGCGUGAGUGAAGAAGGCCUUCGGGUUGUAAAGCUCUUUUGUCAGGGAAGAAACAGCAGCUCUAACACAGUUUGCGAAUGACGGUACCUGAAGAAUAAGCACCGGCUAACUACGUGCCAGCCGCCGCCGUAACAC
rnacentral:rRNA from 1 species